rnacentral:rRNA from 1 species
UGAGUACGAGAUGCUACGGCAUCGAAGCAGUCUAUGUCAUACUUCCAAGAAAAGCUUGCACUGUCAGAAACAGAUAAUGCCUGUACCAUAACCGACACAGGUGGGUAGGUAGAGUAUACUAAGGGGCGCGAGAUAACUCUCUCUAAGGAACUCGGCAAAAUGACUCCGUAACUUCGGGAGAAGGAGUGCCUUAUUUUUAAGGUUGCAAUAACAAGAUCCAAGCAACUGUUUACCAAAAACACAGGUCUCCGCUAAGUCGUAAGACGAUGUAUGGGGGCUGACGCCUGCCCAGUGCCAGAAGGUUAAAGAAGUCGGUUAGCAUUCGCGAAGCUGGUAACUGAAGCCCUGGUGAACGGCGGCCGUAACAAUAACGGUCCUAAGGUAGCGAAAUUCCUUGUCGGGUAAGUUCCGACCCGCACGAAAGGCGUAAUGAUUUGGAUACUGUCUCGGAGAGGGGCUCGGUGAAAUAGACUUGUCUGUGAAGAUGCGGACUACCUGCACCUGGACAGAAAGACCCUAUGAAGCUUUACUGUAACUUGAAAUUGAAAUUGGACUUUAUUUGCGCAGUAUAGGUGGGAGGCGUUGAAAAUAUUCUUGCGGGAAUAUUGGAGCCAUCAGUGAGAUACCACUCUUGUAAUGUUAGAUUUCUAACUUUAUAUCAUUAUCUGGUUAAAGAACAGUUUCAGGCGGGCAGUUUGACUGGGGCGGUCGCCUCCCAAAUGGUAACGGAGGCGCACAAAGGUUUCCUCUGAACGGGUAGAAAUCGUAUCUAGAGUGUAAAGGCAUAAGGAAGCUUGACUGUGAGACCUACAAGUCGAGCAGGGACGAAAGUCGGUCUUAGUGAUCUGACGGUGCUGAGUGGAAAGGCCGUCACUCAACGGAUAAAAGUUACUCUAAGGAUAACAGGCUGAUCUCCCCCAAGAGUUCACAUCGACGGGGAGGUUUGGCACCUCGAUGUCGGCUCAUCGCAUCCUGGGGCGGUAGUACGUCCCAAGGUUUGGGCUGUUCGCCCAUGAAAGCGGUACGCGAGCUGGGUUCAGAACGUCGUGAGACAGUUCGGUCCAUAUCCGGUGUAGGCGUUAGAAUAUUGAGAGGAGCCUUCUUUAGUACGAGAGGACCGAGAAGGACAUACCUCUGGUGUACCAGUUAUCGUGCCAACGGUAAACGCUGGGUAGCUAUGUAUGGAGUGGAUAACCGCUGAAAGCAUCUAAGUGGGAAGCCCACCUCAAGAUAAG